rnacentral:ncRNA from 2 species
UACGUCUCACGUAACUGGCGAAACACCGUGCGCCCCGGCCCCUGGCCCUGGCCCGGCAAGGUGGAGUCCCACCGGGGAACCUGAGACGUCACUCGCCGUUCGCCUGGGCAGCCAUU